AUGUCCCAUUUCCUGCUGCCACAUGUGCGGGCAUAUGCAGGCCUGAACUCUGAGGUUCAUCAAAGUAGCCAGCUCUCUAACAGCAAUGGCUUCCCCCAUUUCCAACUGCAGCAAGCUGAACACAGCCAAGGCCUGUUGUAUGCAGCAGGCGGCUUAUAAGUGUUGUAUGCAGCAGGCGGCUUAUAUUGCAGCAGCUUCUGGCUGAGUCUCCAGCUCCCAACUCCCUGCAGAGGCACAGGGACUCACGCACGACUGCUUCUGGUUUUCUAUGUUCUCUCAGCAAAUCUGAAGUAUUGGUUACAGACCCAGGCUUUUGCCUGCCACUUCAAGGUGCAGAGUGUCUUUAUAAGCUGGCCCUGAGAAAUGUCCAGUGCACAGCUUUCAUUUGUGCAGCCUGAGUUGUCACCCUGGUCUAUCAGUCUUGGAGUGUGCAUUCAAUAAACCAUCCCUGUUUAACUGA
rnacentral:lncRNA from 1 species